CACGUAGGAGGCGAGCGUUAUUCGGAUUUACUGGGUGUAAAGCGCGUGCAGGCGGUUCGAAAAGUUGGAUGUGAAAGCUCCUGGCUUAACUGGGAGAGGUCGUUCAAUACUAUCGGACUAGAGGAUGAGAGAGGGAGGUGGAAUUCCGAGUGUAGUGGUGGAAUGCGUAGAUAUUCGGAGGAACACCAGUGGCGAAAGCGGCCUCCUGGCUCAUAACUGACGCUCAGACGCGAAAGCUAGGGUAGCAAACGGG
rnacentral:rRNA from 2 species